UUCCGCCCCUUUACCUUCUCGAUCCAAGUCCUAAACCCGUCGCCCCUUCUUUGCCCUGCCUCCUCCCUUCUGCCGCCCGCUUCCACUACUCCGUUUAAUUUCUUCAGAAAUUCUUUCACAGCUCAUCGCCACCCAUUACCAUCUUUGCUUGUCCUAUGGGUGCACAGGAGUUGUGAAACAGAGAGCAGGGGGAGUGAGGCAUAGAAGGGGGAGAAGAACGAUGCUGGGUGGAAUUCUAGGUGGGAAAUUCUUCAACAAAUGCAAGCACUCGGCGAAGAACAUAAGGGCGAGGAUCGGGCCGAUACGAAGUAAGAAACAGGCCACAGUGCGGUGGCUCAAAAAGGACGUCGCCGACCUCAUCGCCCCCGGCCACGAAGCGAACACGUACGGAAGGGAUGGAGUAACUUCUCUGGGAGUCCUUUUGAGGAUGUGUGUUCCGCAAAUAUACAGAGGUUCAGAUCUAGCAGAAUCAUAAACCAAAGCUCUCUGGAAAAUUUUCUUUUUGUCAACCAAAUGGAGGAUGCACCUCUCAAGACAAUUGACUUUGGAUUGUCUGUUUUCUUCAAACCAGGAGAGAGAUUCACUGAUGUGGUCGGCAGCCCUUAUUAUGUUGCUCCUGAAAUCCUAAAAAAAACGUUAUGGUCCUGAGGCAGAUAUUUGGAGUGCUGGGGUUAUCAUUUAUAUUCUUCUUAGUGGUGUUCCUCCAUUUUGGGCUAGUGAGAAUUUGUUCUCUAUUCUUGUCAGUUUGUAUUAGCAAAUUUAUUCUGUUUAUAUAUUUCCCGUUACUUAUAUAAGCGUCAUUUUGUCUAUAAUUUUCUGAUAUAAUAUCUUCUGUAAUUCACCAAACUCACAGAAACCGAACAAGGCAUAUUUGAAGAGAUUUUACAUGGUACUCCUGAUUUUGAGUCAGACCCAUGGCAUAAUUCUUUGUUUAACUUUAAAUAGUUUCAAAUUAUUUUCAAUUCAGGCAAUAAAACCUGUGUGCAAUUGCUUUGUGAUGAAAGUAAAAUUACCUACUAAUCCUAAUCCUUCUAGCUACAUGUCCAUUGGAAAGAUCAAUAGGCAUGAAUAUAAACUCAUCCCCUGUGGGUCAUUAGCUGCUAUUAGAAGACACGUGUCCAUUAUGCAAAACCAAAUCCUAAAGUACAUUGCUGUGGUUGAGUUCAAUACAUUUGACAUCUAAGAUGUGGAAGUCAUUGGGCCAAAGUAAUUAACUUUAUUCCAUCUCACCUCUUGUGGGUAGAAAGAAUAAGAGAAAAGUAAAGGGAAAAUAUUUGCUUUAUUGAUUUAUUAUUAUAGCUAACGAUCUUAUUUAUACAAAUUGUCUAGUGAUAUAUAGAAAAUGUUCUGACAAAUAUGAUGUUAGUGAAUAUGGUAUGAAAUCUCAUCAAUCAUAGAAACAAUAGUAGUUAUGGAUUAAUAAAAACAGUAACGAUAGGUGAAUAUGGUAUGAUUGCUUAAAUUUAAUUGGUUCAUGUUUUUUAGCUCUGAAGUUUAUUAUGCACUGAGGUUUUUCUCUAAAUGAAGCACUGAUUUUGAAAACCAUCAUUAUAUGCGCUAUUCUUUAACUUGUUGGACAAUAGUUCACUUUUAAAUCCAUUGGUAUAGCAUUCUAAUUAAAUUGAAAAUGGAAGAUCUACUUUUUUAUAAGGUGUUACAACAUGAUAGCGAUAUAAGCUCCCACCUGUCUUCACUUGCAUUCAUUUGAUCAAGUUAAACACAGAAAAGUGAGUUGAAUCUAGUUUCAUCUUGCCUCACAUUGAUAGCAAUUUGACUCAAGUAAGUUUUACAAUAGCUUCUUAUAUAACUAUACUUACAUGUUAGAUUUCCCCUUGAAUUGUUGUCAACUAUACUGAGUUUUUAGGUUGAAACUAUAUAUGAGAUUGUCAAAAAGAAUAAUUUUUUUAUUACAUGUUAGAGAUAAUGAUCUUUAUUGCUGAUAUUUCCUUGUUUUUCUUGUUCAGAUUAUAUUUGUGUCUGAUUUUAUUUCAUUUACAAAUUUCAUUUGCAGGUCUUGGAUAAACCUUCCUGAAACUUUCUCCUUGUAUCAAAAAUUGUAUAUGGUCAAGAGUUACUAGUGCUUCAGAUAAAGAUGAACUCUUCUAAUAUAUGUUUAGAUUUUGCAGGUUCUAUUGACAAAGUUUCCUAGGGUGCCACCAACGUUCCAAGUAACAUCAAAUGUUUUCCAGGAUUUGGCAAUUAUAAUUUGAUAUCAACCAGAUGACACAAUCUGGCGGAUUUAGCUUAGGAGGAACUUUUCAAUCUAGCCUUCAGCAACAACAACUGCAUACUACCACAGCCUAUAGUUUGAGCCUGCCAAGGGUCUUUAUAAAACAUUUGGUUCUCCAUGCUCUGAUGAGCCUGCCAAGGGGGAGCUUGAGUACUGCAGUCCAACAUGUUAUUAUGCCAAAACACCACCACCUCUACAUGUAAGCUUUUAUGUUAUGGUUUUAUUUGCCGAUAUGAAUGGAGUACUUGAAGAGUAUAUGAUUUAUCAAAUCUGUUAUUGUGAUUGUAGCAACUGUAUUUCUCCAAAUUUCAGCUAUCAACCUUGUUUUAUGUCUUCUACAGGUAUUAUAUUCUUUCCUUUUUUUUUGUGCUUUGCUCACAUACUUUGCUUCACAAAAAUCCAGAAUGUUGGAAAAGGUUUACAUGGAAGAAUCAGCAAGUGAGAAAGAGGAGUCCAAUGAAAUUCUACAAGUUGAAGAUUUUGAUGGGGCUUGAGUUGACAAUAAUUACUUGCAAUCCUACAUGGCAUGAACCACCAUCACAAGUUU